CUGGCAGGGUUGCCAGCCCUCCAGGAUUGUCCGGGAGUCUCCAGGAAUUAAAGAUGAAUCUUUAAUUACAGUUUAUGUCUUGUGAUGACACCUCCAGGAAUACGGCCAACCAAAACUGGCAACCCCUAAUACCCCAGAUCAUUAGUGCA